rnacentral:rRNA from 1 species
AACGAGAGUUUGAUCCUGGCUCAGAAUCAACGCUGGCGGCGUGCCUAACACAUGCAAGUCGAACGAGAAAGUUCGGGUGUAGCAAUACAUCCGGGUGAGUAAAGUGGCGCACGGGUGAGUAACACGUAGCUAACCUACCCUCGAGUGGGGGAUAACCUGGGGAAACCCGGGCUAAUACCGCAUAACUUCCCGGUGGCACAAGUCGCUGGGAUCAAAGGCCCGCAAGGGUCGCUAGUGGAGGGGGCUGCGGCCGAUUAGCUAGUUGGCGGGGUAACGGCCCACCAAGGCGAUGAUCGGUAGCCGGCCUGAGAGGGCGCACGGCCACACUGGCACUGAAACACGGGCCAGACUCCUACGGGAGGCAGCAGUGGGGAAUUUUGCACAAUGCCCGAAAGGGUGAUGCAGCAACGCCGCGUGAGGGAUGAAGGCCUUCGGGUCGUAAACCUCUUUCGACCGGGAAAAACG